AGCAUCACCAGGACUUUUGCCUCUGGUCGUACCGAGAGGUUAAUUAUGCAGUCAUUGAAGGACCUGGGGUUUCCUAGUGGCAAGAUUGAUGAAAUAGAAACAUCCCAGUUUACCUUUGAAAAAUUCUAUGAGCUUUAUCAUAAGAUCUGCCCUAGGACAGAUAUCGAGGAGUUAUUCAAAGAAGUUUCAAAAGGAGGUGAUCAUCUGACCAUGAUACAACUGAUAGAAUUUCUUAAUGAG